UACGAAGGGGACUAGCGUUGUUCGGAAUUACUGGGCGUAAAGCGCGCGUAGGCGGAUUUGUAAGUCAGGGGUGAAAUCCCGGGGCUCAACCUCGGAACUGCCUUUGAUACUGCAAAUCUCGAGUCCGAUAGAGGUGGGUGGAAUUCCUAGUGUAGAGGUGAAAUUCGUAGAUAUUAGGAAGAACACCAGUGGCGAAGGCGGCCCGCUGGUCCGGUACUGACGCUGAGGUGCGAAAGCGUGGGGAGCAAACAGG
rnacentral:rRNA from 1 species